rnacentral:rRNA from 1 species
UACGUAGGGGGCUAGCGUUGUCCGGAUUUAUUGGGCGUAAAGAGCGUGUAGGCGGCCAGGUAGGUCUGGUGUGAAAACUCGAGGCUUAACCUCGAGAUGUCAUCGGAAACCAUCUGGCUAGAGUCCGGGAGAGGAGAGUGGAAUUCCUGGUGUAGCGGUGAAAUGCGCAGAUAUCAGGAAGAACACCAAUGGCGAAAGCAGCUCUCUGGGACGGUACUGACGCUGAGACGCGAAAGCGUGGGGAGCGAACAGG